rnacentral:tRNA from 1 species
GCAUCGUCCGCUCAGGGGCAGAGCGUCUGCCUGGUAAACAGAAGACCGCUGGUUCGAUUCCAGCAUGAGGCA